AGGAUCGAGCAAGGCGACACUGCUCAGCUAGGGAUUUUCUUCCAUGGCCGCCAAAUCAAAGGUCUAAGUCCCAGGUGCAAUCUCACACAAAGGAAGAGACAAGAUAAUUUGAUGACAAUGACUCAUGAAUGGAAAUAAAACACCAGCGGGAAUGAUUUGCUCUUUUUUCCUAGCUUAAGUUAUUGAUUGAGAUGGAGAUUCAUGCUGUUAUUCUAAUUUUACACCCUUGUGUUCUUGGCAAAUAUUACAUUAUUUGGUUCAUAUGAAUGAGCACUUUUGAUGUUGUCUGCUUUCCUGAAUGAACCCUUGAUUUAGAACUACAUGACAGAGUCUUGUUGCCAUAUGUGGUGUCCUUUCAUGUUCAUAUAAAUCUGCAACAUGGGUGUUACUCAUGUUUCCUCAACCAACUUAUAGUCACUUUCGACUAGCAAGUGUAUCUUAACUGGCAUUCUGAUCUGUCUUUUUUGUUAGCUGCAACUUCAUCAAAAGCGUAGUGAUGAUAUUUUCUUACAGUUACUUCAAUUACAACACUUGGUUUAUCUUUAAGGGUAAUCAGCUUUGUUUGCACUGAAAAUAAUGCGUGUGUUGAUCCCAUUAACUCAAGUGUGUUAUUACAGGUUGCAGGAACAUGAAUUGGCGGCAUCUCAGCUGGCUGUUGUUUAUGCUGAAAAUAAUACUGAUGCUCAAUCUAUAUCUUGACUUCUCAUUUCUGAAUAUUAGAAAUGCUAAGCAGUCCAUGGAAGCUUGCCUAUGCCGCUUCCGUGCGACAUUAUUUCUCUGGACCAUUUUGCCUCCGCAGCUCUAGACAUGAACUUCCUGAUACGGUAAUGAAAUCCAGGUGGAAAGCCCUCCUAUAUAUAUUAAAUUUGCUUGCUUUGGCAUCUUACUUCCUCUAAAUUUUAAAUAGGAUAUUCUUGAGACGUAGUUUUAGGAAAUAGUUUGGUUUCAGUCAACAUGCAACAUAUGUGGUGAAUUAUAUAAGCUAAGCUGGGCUAUUGAAGUAAUUGUUCUUUUGCUAUUCCUUUGCAUUUUCUUAAUAUGAUGUUGGUAUAGCCAUGAUGGCUCCCGUGUAGUUCUUUGGUUUUCUUGGAAAAAAAUUCCUUUGGCUAACAAAUAGUAGACUCUGUGUGGGAUUCGUUCAUCAGUUUCACAGACAUUAGUUGCUAGCUUCUUAGCAGUAGUUUAGCUUUGUUUGCGGUUAUAUAUGGUUGUGAGCUGCAGACACCAUCAUGUCCUGCAAAUUGUUUCUAUACAAUGCUAAUUCCUUUAUCGCUCAGUCUUGGGGGUACUCAGGUUGGAUGUCAGACCUACAUUUAGUCAGUCAUCUGUUGGCAGUUUAGUUGUGUGAAGCACCUAUAUUGUUUGUCAGCAUCUCCUUUACAUACAGAAGAGACCUUAUCAAAAGCAAAUUAUGAGGAACUAAAAGAAAAGGCCAGAUUUAUAAAUGUGGUGCUUCUCUCUUCCUGUUGGUGUGAGGCGGACAGAUGCCACCAACUUCCAGAUAAGCUCGGCUGCUCUCCCUUCAAACUCAUGCCGAUGGCAGCGCGUUCUCCCUUCCCUUCGGGCAAGAGGGAGUUGUUCUCCGCUGCUUCGGUGACCGGCAGAGGAAGGGUACGCCGUGAGGCGGCCCCGUCGAAUAAGGACAAAGCACUCCGCUGCCGCUGCUCAGCCGGGUCAGGGCCUGCUGGUUUUUUUCGAGGCAAGAAACAGAGCAUGCCAUGUGUGGUUUUUCAUAUCAGCUACUCUUGCAGCAAUAGAUGCUUUCUUUACACGACGGGUUAAUAUGUUGAGCAAGGCACCGUGCACCAAGGCGCAUUUCCUAUGGCAGCAUCUAUUGAUUGUUGUUGCGAAUCUUGAAGGAUACGCUUCAGUCUUCAGUCUUAUGCCUCUUAUAAUCCCGUUGCCAUAUGCAUUUCGCCUUUAAUUGGACUAUGUAACACUAUCAUUUGUGCUCUCUUUUGGUAGACGCGGUAUGUAAUAACGAACUCUGUCUAAAUGCAUAGGACUUGGUACCGAGUUAUCUAAAUUGUUGCCCAGUACUAAAUAUAUAUAGCUUGCUUUUGGACUGAAGCAUUCUGUUUUUUACUGGGCCAAUUGCUAUGUAUUGAAUGUGUAUAUAUCGACGCAAUGCUUCUGAUCUAAACUUGAUAUAUUAGAUGAUAAAC